rnacentral:misc_RNA from 1 species
GAACGCACAUUGCGCCCAUUAGUAUUCUAGUGGGCAUGCCUGUUCGAGCGUCAUUUAGUCCACUUAAGCCAUUUGCUUAGUAUUGGGAAUCUACUUUUACCUUGUAGCUGUAGUUCCUUAAAGACAGCGGCGGAGUCGUGGUUUUACUCUGAGCUUAGUAAUUUUUUUCUAGCUUUCGAGUCGCCAUUGCCCCCUUGCCGUAAAACACCCUUUAUUUUUUAAUGGUUGACCUCGGAUCAGGUAGGAAUACCCGCUGAACUUAAG